rnacentral:rRNA from 1 species
AUUGAACGCUGGCGGCAUGCCUUACACAUGCAAGUCGAACGGCAGCACGGGAGCAAUCCUGGUGGCGAGUGGCGAACGGGUGAGUAAAGUAUCGGAACGUGCUCAGUCGUGGGGGAUAACGUAGCGAAAGUUACGCUUAUACCGCAUACGAUCUAUGGAUGAAAGCGGGGGAUCGCAAGACCUCGCGCGAUUGGAGCGGCCGAUAUCAGAUUAGGUAGUUGGUGGGGUAAAGGCUCACCAAGCCGACGAUCUGUAGCUGGUCUGAGAGGACGACCAGCCACACUGGGACUGAGACACGGCCCAGACUCCUACGGGAGGCAGCAGUGGGGAAUUUUGGACAAUGGGCGCAAGCCUGAUCCAGCCAUGCCGCGUGCAGGAUGAAGGCCUUCGGGUUGUAAACUGCUUUUGUACGGAACGAAAAGGUUUGACUUAAUACGUUGGACUCAUGACGGUACCGUAAGAAUAAGCACCGGCUAGCUACGUGCCAGCCGCCGCCGUAA